AAAAAAAAAGCAGAAUCACAGUUUCUUAAGGUUUCCAACGAAGGGGACACUUCCAGUUGGUAUCCACCAACUCUCAAAAGUCUCAGACUAGCAAUUAACAGCACGGUGCCCUAAAAUGCUUCCGGGAUGUCUUGUCUCAGACUACCAGCUCAGCUCAGAGAUCUCAGGCCUGAGCCAGGUAGCAUUUCCUAAGCAGGAAACACGUUCAAUCGGACGAAACAGAACGCAGGGGGAAGAGAAGAGAGAACCCCAGGCCUGGCACAGGUCAAGUGCAAGGGGUGCACACCGGACCUGGAGUCUCCAGGCUGCACCAGGAGCACGGGUUCACGUGGCCGCUUUGAGACUUCAGGGGAACAGAGAUGAAGAUGGAACCACCCGCCUCAGGAGUUCCCCUUUCUGCGCUGUGAAACUCUCAAGCACCCUGAGCUUCUGCGCGGUCUCCACUUCCCCCAAGGCUGCCGUCCUUCACUGUUCUAAUAAAAGGGCGGGUUUCUGUUGA